rnacentral:rRNA from 2 species
GAAACAUCUAAGUACCCCGAGGAAAAGAAAUCAACCGAGAUUCCCCCAGUAGCGGCGAGCGAACGGGGAGGAGCCCAGAGCCUGAAUCAGCAUGUGUGUUAGUGGAAGCGUCUGGAAAGGCGCGCGAUACAGGGUGACAGCCCCGUACACAAAAGCGCAUGUGCUGUGAGCUCGAUGAGUAGGGCGGGACACGUGGUAUCCUGUCUGAAUAUGGGGGGACCAUCCUCCAAGGCUAAAUACUCCUGACUGACCGAUAGUGAACCAGUACCGUGAGGGAAAGGCGAAAAGAACCCCGGCGAGGGGAGUGAAAAAGAACCUGAAACCGU